rnacentral:rRNA from 1 species
UGGUAUGCACUGGCUCGCUGACUCCUCCUUCUUGUAGAACCGUAAUGCCAUUAAUUUGGUGUUGCGGGGAAACAGGACUGUUACUUUGAAAAAAUUAGAGUGUUUAAAGCAGGCCAACGCCUGAAUACAUUAGCAUGGAAUAAUGAAAUAGGACGUUCGAACCUAUUUUGUUGGUUUCUAGGAUUGACGUAAUGAUUAAUAGGGAUAGUUGGGGGCAUUAGUAUUCAAUUGUCAGAGGUGAAAUUCUUGGAUUUAUUGAAGACUGACUACUGCGAAAGCAUUUGCCAAGGAUGUUUUCAUUAAUCAAGAACGAAAGUUAGGGGAUCGAAGACGAUCAGAUACCGUCGUAGUCUUAACCAUAAACUAUGCCGACUAGGGAUCGGAUGAUGUUAAUUUUUUAAUGGCUCAUUCGGCGCCUUACG